rnacentral:rRNA from 1 species
UACGUAGGGUGCAAGCGUUAAUCGGAAUUACUGGGCGUAAAGCGUGCGCAGGCGGUUAUGUAAGACAGGUGUGAAAUCCCAGGGCUUAACCUUGGAACUGCAUUUGUGACUGCAUAGCUAGAGUACGGUAGAGGGGGAUGGAAUUCCGCGUGUAGCAGUGAAAUGCGUAGAUAUGCGGAGGAACACCGAUGGCGAAGGCAAUCCCCU